rnacentral:misc_RNA from 1 species
UACGGAGGGUGCAAGCGUUAAUCGGAAUUACUGGGCGUAAAGCGCACGUAGGCGGUUCAGUCAGCCAGCCGUGAAAUCCCCGGGCUCAACCUGGGAAUUGCGGUUGGAACUGCUGAGCUAGAGUAUGGUAGAGGGGUGUGGAAUUCCAGGUGUAGCGGUGAAAUGCGUAGAUAUCUAGAGGAACAUCAGUGGCGAAGGCGACACCCUGGACCAAUACUGACGCUGAGGUGCGAAAGCGUGGGGAGCAAACAGG